UAGCUUUGGCGUUGUGGCCAUGGAAAUCAUCAGUGGUAGAAAGAAUCUUGACACUUCACGAUCUGAAGAGAACAUACAUCUUAUUACCCUACUGGAAGAAAAAGUGAAGAGUGAUGAGUUAGCAGAUUUGAUUGACAAGCACAGUACUGAUAUGCAAGUACACAAGCAAGAAAUAGUGGACAUGAUGAAACUUGCAAUGUGGUGUUUACAAAUUGAACCCAAAAGAAGGCCUCAAAUGUCUGAGGUGAUCAAAGUCUUGGAAGGUCACAUGAACGCAGAAAGCAAUAUUGAUCAUAACUUUGUCGCAACAAGUCAAACAAUGUUCGGUAUUUCUGAAAAUACAGGUUCCUCAGACCCACCUCAAGCCUCAUAUUUAUCAGCCCCGAGAUGAAAUGGGAUAACUGUGAGAAGUUACGCACAGAAGAUAUGUGUGUCUAGGAAAAGCCAUUAUCUGUUGUAUUUUCUUUUCCAAAUCUUGUGCUAGCUUGUCGGUUUAAUUAUUUUGUUUGGUUUCCCAUUGUAACACAAAUCUGUUUGAAUUCUUACAGUUCUUUUAAAAGUUACAAGACAGUUUCAAAAUGCCAAGAUGAACAGGCUUAAAGCAAAUUGGGAGUUGGGUUCCCAAUCUCCAAAAUGCUGAGGGGGGAAAAGCAGUACUGGUAUAUAAGUGGGUCAUAAUGCAUAUUCUCCUAAAUAUUUCCAGACAUGGAUUUUCUACUGAAAUUAAGCUUCCUGUUCUAGCCGUGUAGCGCGCAAGUGUAGCGGCCUUGCUGUUGUGGGGAUUAAUCUCCAUUGCAAACCUUGAUUAUUUGUAACGAGUAACUCCUAAACAGUUGCACAACGAGUUAACUAUGACCUAAUUGCUCAAUCCAUGAGAGUGAGCAAUCGGAAGGCAGGAGACGCUCACCUUAGUAACGCAGAGGAGGAACGCCGCGAUGGAUGUGGUGCCCUGAACUGAAGGGCCUCCUUUGGUGGUGAGUGAUGAGGACUGACGGCGUCCCAGGGGCGCCUGAGAGGAUGAGAAGCAGCGAUCCUCCAGCAGCACGGCAUAGCGGCACCACACUGAAGGAGAGCAGACCGUCCAGAUCCCGGCCGUCGCCGCCCCGGUCGGAGCACCGGCAAGCUGGGAAGGACGCGUGUGCGGUGGGAGGAAGGGGAUGAUGGCC
rnacentral:lncRNA from 1 species